GACAGAGGGUGCAAACGUUGUUCGGAAUUACUGGGCGUAAAGCGCGUGUAGGCGGCUAUGCAAGUCGGGCGUGAAAUCCCUCGGCUCAACCGAGGAAGUGCACUCGAAACUGCGUAGCUAGAGUCUCGGAGAGGAAGGUGGAAUACUUGGUGUAGAGGUGAAAUUCGUAGAUAUCAAGUGGAACACCGGUGGCGAAGGCGGCCUUCUGGACGAUGACUGACGCUGAGACGCGAAAGCGUGGGGAGCGAACGGG
rnacentral:rRNA from 1 species